AACGUAGGUGGCAAGCGUUAUCCGGAUUUACUGGGCGUAAAGCGUGUGCAGGCGGCCCUUCAAGUGGUGUAUGAAAUCGCCCGGCUCAACCGGGUGGGGUUAUGCCAGACUGGCGGGCUAGAGUCUGAAAGAGGGGGGUGGAAUUCCGGGUGUAGUGGUGAAAUGCGUAGAGAUCCGGAGGAACCCCAGAGGCGAAGGCGGCCCCCUGGUUCAGGACUGACGCUCAGACACGACAGCAUGGGGAGCGAACGGG
rnacentral:rRNA from 1 species